rnacentral:snRNA from 1 species
GUUUUAUUUGCUUCGGCAGUACAUAACCUAAAAUUGAAAUGAUACAGAGAAGAUUAGUAUGGUUCCUGCGCAAGGAUGCCACACAAAAUCAUGAAGCAUUCCACUUUAAA